CCUACGGGGGGCAGCAGUGAGGAAUAUUGGUCAAUGGGCGGGAGCCUGAACCAGCCAAGUCGCGUGAGGGAAGACGGUCCUAUGGAUUGUAAACCUCUUUAGGCGGGGAGCAAUGCCGGGCACGCGUGCCCGGAGGGAGAGUACCCGCAGAAUAAGCAUCGGCUAACUCCGUGCCAGCGGCCGCGGUAAUACGGGGGAUGCGAGCGUUAUCCGGAUUUAUUGGGUUUAAAGGGUGCGUGGGAGGAUUUUUAAGUCAGGGGUAAAAUGUCCGGGCUCAACCCGGGCCGGCCGUUGAAACUGGGCGUCUUGAGUGGGCGUGAAGUAGGCGGAAUGUGUGGUGUAGCGGUGAAAUGCAUAGAUAUCACGCAGAACUCCGAUUGCGAAGGCAGCAUACCGGCGCCCGACUGACGUUGAGGCACGAAAGCGUGGGGAUCGAACAGGAUUAGAUACCCUUGUAGUC
rnacentral:rRNA from 1 species